rnacentral:misc_RNA from 1 species
ACCAGGUAGCAUUCCUCUUUGCCGCCGACACCGCAUGAGUAACAGGACGAAUAUCGUCCCGGAGUCAACACGGGGCACGUCAGGCUUUUGUAAGGGACAAUUGAUUCGGGCAAAAAGGGGACAAGGACCCCGACCGAUCAUGCUUCUACAUACAAGACUUCGAGCGACACUUGGGCGUCCGACACCUGCAAGCUACAUAGGCAAAGCAAGGGCGGACGUCCAUGGAAGCUUCAGUGUCUACAUCGCACAAAACAUUUUGGCACGAGAUAGAAUAGGGGACCGUGGGACUAGACAAUUCCGUCAAAACAGGUAUGCUACACAGGGGGCCAAGCCGAUCCAAGGCAAAAUAUUUAGCGCUCGGACAGAAUUGAACAGGUGUGAACCAGCGGUUGUCGCUACCGAGGCAGGGAACCAACCAACCGGAACAUACC